rnacentral:rRNA from 1 species
UACGGAGGGUGCGAGCGUUGUCCGGAAUCACUGGGCGUAAAGAGCGCGUAGGCGGCCCGGGGAGUCAACGGUGAAAGCUCGGCGCUCAACGCCGAGUCGGCCGUCGAUACUCCCGUGCUCGAGCACUGUAGAGGCAGGUGGAAUUCCGGGUGUAGCGGUGGAAUGCGUAGAGAUCCGGAAGAACACCGGUGGCGAAGGCGGCCUGCUGGGCAGUAGCUGACGCUGAGGCGCGACAGCGUGGGGAGCAAACAGG